rnacentral:lncRNA from 1 species
UCUUUAUUAAGAUGUUCUUAAAUAAGCAAUUCAUUUCCUUUUUUCGUUUAGGUAAUACUGCGGCUACCUGCAUGAGGGACGGACGUCUGUUAUGCAUGUUACAAAUUCAUGAAACCAAUAUUCAGCGAUCCGACCGCUGCGCCGCCAGUUUCCCUGUAAUACUGCGGCUACCUGCAUGAGGGACGGACGUCUGUUAUGCAUGUUACAAAUUCAUGAAACCAAUAUUCAGCGAUCCGACCGCUGCGCCGCCAGUUUCCCUGUAAUACUGCGGCUACCUGCAUGAGGGACGGACGUCUGUUAUGCAUGUUACAAAUUCAUGAAACCAAUAUUCAGCGAUCCGACCGCUGCGCCGCCAGUUUCCCUGUAAUACUGCGGCUACCUGCAUGAGGGACGGACGUCUGUUAUGCAUGUUACAAAUUCAUGAAACCAAUAUUCAGCGAUCCGACCGCUGCGCCGCCAGUUUCCCUGUAAUACUGCGGCUACCUGCAUGAGGGACGGACGUCUGUUAUGCAUGUUACAAAUUCAUGAAACCAAUAUUCAGCGAUCCGACCGCUGCGCCGCCAGUUUCCCUGUAAUACUGCGGCUACCUGCAUGAGGGACGGACGUCUGUUAUGCAUGUUACAAAUUCAUGAAACCAAUAUUCAGCGAUCCGACCGCUGCGCCGCCAGUUUCCCUGUAAGAUUUCUUUUUAUUUAAUUAAAAUUUUCGUAACAUACAUGAAUGAAUUCCAUCGGAUAUUUUUUAGGAUAAUUCAUUUCGGUUCAUAUUUUUUUUUAAUUUAAAUUUUCGUUACAUACCUGAUUAGGUUUCAUCACAGUUUUUUGCUUAUAAUUUAUUUGUGUACGAAUUUUUGUUUAACACCUAACACUUCUUUUGAGUAUCAUUUUCUUUUUCAUAACUAACAGUUCAUUACAGUAAUAUUUUUAUGUAUGUAUAUUUUUACUUACUUUAUUUUAAAUACAUACAUAUUUCAAAUUCCUUUUUCAUUUCAAUGGCGCUUCCACGUGACUGUUUUUUAAUUCUGGUAGCCCUCCUAAGGCUACUUCGUUACUUUCUGGCAACCUUUUAACACGUUUUCGCUCAAUUUAAUUUUGGAAACCAAACGUGUAAGGACGCAGGUAUGUGGCUCUUUUGUUCAUUCAUUUUCAUCACGAAUGCUCAGCUUUUUGGUCUUUACGGGACCCCUCAUUCUCUUCAUUUUUUUAAAUUUUUUUUUAAAAUAGAAUACAGUUUUUAUUUUUUGCGCUUACGGGCUAGUCCCUUAAAAUACUGUUUAUAAUCUAAAAUACUGUUUUCUAACUUUUUAAGUUCACUUCUGUGUUUUCUGACGCGCAGGCCAUGUUGGGAAAAGGGACAGAUCAUUUGAGACAUCGUUAAUAAUAAAUAGAAAUAAUUAAUUUCAAACUUUUACUUACAUUUCAUACUGGGAAAGCCAAUUACAGUCUCAAUGGACCUGUCCAACGAUUUUUUCGCCUACCUAUUUUGAGUUUGCUGUGCAGUUGUCCUUCUGUAAUAUGUAGGGUUUUUUUUUUCGAGUGCAAUUUGUUGUUUUA